rnacentral:rRNA from 1 species
UGGAUCCAGACUUUGAUUCUGGCUCAGGAUGAACGCUAGCUACAGGCUUAACACAUGCAAGUCGAGGGGCAGCGAUGAAGAAAGCUUGCUUUCUUCAGGCGGCGACCGGCGCACGGGUGGGUAACGCGUAUCGAACCUGCCUCAUACUCAGGAAUAGCCUUGCGAAAGUAAGAUUAAUGCCCGAUGUUAUUAGGAUAUCACAUGACGUUUUAAUUAAAGAUUUAUCGGUAUGAGAUGGCGAUGCGUCCCAUUAGUUUGUUGGCGGGGUAACGGCCCACCAAGACAUCGAUGGGUAGGGGUUCUGAGAGGAAGGUCCCCCACAUUGGAACUGAGACACGGUCCAAACUCCUACGGGAGGCAGCAGUGAGGAAUAUUGGUCAAUGGACGCAAGUCUGAACCAGCCAAGUAGCGUGCAGGAAGACGGCCCUCUGGGCUGUAAACUGCUUUUAGUUGGGAAUAAAGUGCAUCACGUGUGAUGUUUUGUAUGUACCAUCAGAAAAAGGACCGGCUAAUUCCGUGCCAGCAGCCGCGGUAAUACGGAAGGUUCAGGCGUUAUCCGGAUUUAUUGGGUUUAAAGGGAGCGCAGGCGGACCUUUAAGUCAGCUGUGAAAUACGGCGGCUCAACCGUCGAACUGCAGUUGAUACUGGAGGUCUUGAGUGCACACAGGGAUACUGGAAUUCAUGGUGUAGCGGUGAAAUGCUCAGAUAUCAUGAAGAACUCCGAUCGCGAAGGCAGGUAUCCGGGGUGCAACUGACGCUGAGGCUCGAAAGUGCGGGUAUCAAACAGGAUUAGAUACCCUGGUAGUCCGCACAGUAAACGAUGAAUACUCGCGAUUUGCGAUACACAGUAAGUCGCCAAGCGAAAGCGUUAAGUAUUCCACCUGGGGAGUACGCCGGCAACGGUGCAACUCAAAGGAAUUGACGGAAUCCCGC